UUCUCGUUCGUGUUAUAGAAAAAAAAAAAAACUUAUUUUUAGGGGAAAUGAUUUAAAGUGAAAUUUUUAUUAAAUUAAAAAUGAGCUGUUUUGAAACAACACUUCUUUGAUAGAAGAAAUUUUGCGUAUCGGUAAUUUUUGUUUUGUGUUGCAGGAUGUAUUUUGGAAUGAAAUAAACUCAUCCUCAUCAAGUUGCGGCUCUAUUUUUAUGGGAAUCUGAACACGGAAUAAUUGAGCUCUUUGUUUCUGACGCUAGAAAAUGACAUUCAUGCUCCUUUGAGCGACAAGAGUUAUGGUUUGCGACAGAAGAAGAUGGUAAGAAGAUAACUACAUCUCGCGUGAAUUUUAUACAUACUAUUUUUAAAUUGUCAUGUAAAAUAAAAUAUUUUUCACUAAAAUUAUAGCAUGUCUAAAUCUAAAAUUUACGUCUGCACCUGAUCUUGGUCCGCUUGUGGAACAAUUAAGAACAGGUGAUUUGACUUUUUCUAAGAAAAUA